rnacentral:siRNA from 1 species
ACACUCGUCAAUGGACAACUAUGU